rnacentral:rRNA from 1 species
GAUGAACGCUGGCGGCGUGCCUAAUACAUGCAAGUCGAGCGAACAGACGAGGAUCUUGCUCCUCUUACGUUAGCGGCUGACGGGUGAGUAACACGUGGAUAACCUACCUAUAAUACUGGGAUAACUUCGUGAAACCUGAGCUAAUACCGGAUAAUAUAUUUAACCGCAUGGUUCAAUAGUGAAAGACGUUUUUUCUGUCACUUAUAGAUGGAUCCUCGCCGCAUUAGCUAGUUGGUAAGGUAACGGCUUACCAAGGCAACGAUGCGUAGCCGACCUGAGAGGGUGAUCGGACAAACUGGAACUGAGACACGGAACAGAGACCUACGGGAGGCAGCAGUAGGGAAUCUUCCGCAAUGGGCGAAAGCAUGACGGAGCAAAGCCGCGUGAGGGAUGAAGGUCUUAGGAUCGUAAAACUCUGUUAUUAGGGAAGAAAAAAUGUGUAAGUAACUAUGCACGUAUUGACGGUAACUAAACAGAAAGCCACGGCUAACUACGUG